UCGCUCAACGGAUAAAAGCUACCCUGGGGAUAACAGGCUUAUCUCCCCCAAGAGUCCACAUCGACGGGGAGGUUUGGCACCUCGAUGUCGGCUCAUCGCAUCCUGGGGCUGAAGUAGGUCCCAAGGGUUGGGCUGUUCGCCCAUUAAAGCGGUACGCGAGCUGGGUUCAGAACGUCGUGAGACAGUUCGGUCCCUAUCCGUCGUGGGCGUAGGAAAUUUGAGAGGAGCUGUCCUUAGUACGAGAGGACUGGGAUGGACACACCGCUGGUGUACCAGUUGUUCCGCCAGGAGCAUAGCUGGGUAGCUACGUGUGGACGGGAUAAGCGCUGAAAGCAUCUAAGCGUGAAGCCCCCCUCGAGAUGAGAUUUCCCAUUACGUUAAGUAAGUAAGACCCCUUAGAGAUGAUGAGGUUGAUAGGUCUCGGGUGGAAGCGUGGCGACACGUGGAGCUGAGAGAUACUAAUCGGUCGAGGGCUUAUCCAAAA
rnacentral:rRNA from 2 species